rnacentral:rRNA from 1 species
UUGCUCGGAAUCACUGGGCGUAAAGGGUGCGUAGGCGGGUUUUUAAGUCCGGGGUGAAAUCCUGGAGCUCAACUCCAGAACUGCCUUUGAUACUGAAGAUCUUGAGUCCGGGAGAGGUGAGUGGAACUGCGAGUGUAGAGGUGAAAUUCGUAGAUAUUCGCAAGAACACCAGUGGCGAAGGCGGCUCACUGGCCCGGUACUGACGCUGAGGCACAAAAGCGUGGGGAGCAAACAGG